GUGGGGAAUAUUGGGCAAUGGGCGCAAGCCUGACCCAGCAACGCCGCGUGAAGGAAGAAGGCUUUCGGGUUGUAAACUUCUUUGACCAGGGACGAAAAAAAUGACGGUACCUGGAAAACAAGCCACGGCUAACUACGUGCCAGCAGCCGCGGUAAUACGUAGGUGGCAAGCGUUGUCCGGAUUUACUGGGUGUAAAGGGCGUGUAGGCGGGAUUACAAGUCAGAUGUGAAAUCUCUCGGCUCAACCGAGAGCGUGCAUUUGAAACUGUAGUUCUUGAGUGAUGGAGAGGCAGGCGGAAUUCCUAGUGUAGCGGUGAAAUGCGUAGAUAUUAGGAGGAACACCAGUGGCGAAGGCGGCCUGCUGGACAUUUACUGACGCUGAGGCGCGAAAGCGUGGGGAGCAAACAGGAUUAGAUACCCGGGUAGUCC
rnacentral:rRNA from 1 species